GAUGAACGCUGGCGGCGUGCCUAAUACAUGCAAGUCGAGCGAACGGACGAGAAGCUCGCUUUUCUGAUGUUAGCGGCGGACGGGUGAGUAACACGUGGAUAACCUACCUAUAAGACUGGGAUAACUUCGGGAAACCGGAGCUAAUACCGGAUAAUAUUUUGAACCGCAUUGUUCAAAAGUGAAAGACGGUCUUGCUGUCACUUAUAGAUGGAUCCGCGCUGCAUUAGCUAGUUGGUAAGGUAACGGCUUACCAAGGCAACGAUGCAUAGCCGACCUGAGAGAGUGAUCGGCCACACUGGAACUGAGACGCGGUCCAGACUCCUACGGGAGGCAGCAGUAGGGAAUCUUCCGCAAUGGGCGAAAGCCUGACGCAGCAGCGCCGCGUGAGUGGUGAAGGUCUUCGGAUCGGAAAGCUCUGUUAUUAGGGAAGAACAUCUGUGUAAGUAACUGUGCACAUCUUGACGGUACCUAAUCAGAAAGCCACGGCUAACUACGUG
rnacentral:rRNA from 1 species